GACGAACGCUGGCGGCGUGCUUAACACAUGCAAGUCGAACGGUUAAGCACCUUCCUUUUGGUGUGUGUGGUUGAGUGGCGAACGUGUGAGUAACACGUGAGUAACCUUCCCCCUUCUUCUGGAUAACCGCAUGAAAGUGUGUCUAAUACGGGAUAUUCUGGGUCUGUCGCAUGGCUGACCUGGUUAAGAUAUUGUUUCGUUGGGGGAUGGGCUCGCGGUCUAUCAGCUUGUUGGUGGGGUGAUGGCCUACCAAGGCGGUGUCGGGUAGACGGCCUGAGAGGGUGGACGGUAAGAGAGGGACUGAGAGAAGGAGAAGACUACGACGGGAGGCAGAAGGGGGGAAUAGUGAACAAUGGGAGAAAGGAUGAAGCAGCGACGAGGCGUGAGGGAUGGAGGACUGAGGGUUGUAAACCUCUUUCGGGAGUGAAGAAGGGCUGUCCAUUUUGUGGGUGGGUUGACGGUAGCUGGAGAAGAAGCGCCGGCUAACUACGUG
rnacentral:rRNA from 1 species